rnacentral:tRNA from 1 species
AGUUCCAUAGUGUAGCGGUUAGCACAUCUGCUUUACAUGCAGAAGGGCCUGGGUUCGCGCCCCCAUGGAGCCA